CACUAUCGUUAACUGAAUACAUAGGUUAACGAGGCGAACCGGGGGAACUGAAACAUCUAAGUACCCCGAGGAAAAGAAAUCAACCGAGAUUCCCCCAGUAGCGGCGAGCGAACGGGGAGCAGCCCAGAGUCUGAAUCAGCUUGUGUGUUAGUGGAACGGUCUGGAAAGUCCGACGGUACAGGGUGAUAGUCCCGUACACCAAAAUGCACAGGCUGUGAACUCGAAGAGUAGGGCGGGACACGUGGUAUCCUGUCUGAAUAUGGGGGGACCAUCCUCCAAGGCUAAAUACUCCUGACUGACCGAUAGUGAACCAGUACCGUGAGGGAAAGGCGAAAAGAACCCCGGCGAGGGGAGUGAAAAAGAACCUGAAACCGUGUACGUACAAGCAGUGGGAGCACCUUCGGGUGUGACUGCGUACCUUUUGUAUAAUGGGUCAGCGACUUAUAUUCUGUAGCAAGGUUAACCGUAUAGGGGAGCCGCAGGGAAACCGAGUCUUAACUGGGCGUUAAGUUGCAGGGUAUAGACCCGAAACCCGGUGAUCUAGCCAUGGGCAGGUUGAAGGUUGGGUAACACUAACUGGAGGACCGAACCGACUAAUGUUGAAAAAUUAGCGGAUGACUUGUGGCUGGGGGUGAAAGGCCAAUCAAACCGGGAGAUAGCUGGUUCUCCCCGAAAGCUAUUUAGGUAGCGCCUCGUGAAUUCAUCUUCGGGGGUAGAGCACUGUUUCGGCUAGGGGGUCAUCCCGACUUACCAACCCGAUGCAAACUACGAAUACCGAAGAAUGUUAUCACGGGAGACACACGGCGGGUGCUAACGUCCGUCGUGAAGAGGGAAACAACCCAGACCGCCAGCUAAGGUCCCAAAGUCAUGGUUAAGUGGGAAACGAUGUGGGAAGGCACAGACAGCCAGGAUGUUGGCUUAGAAGCAGCCAUCAUUUAAAGAAAGCGUAAUAGCUCACUGGUCGAGUCGGCCUGCGCGGAAGAUGUAACGGGGCUAAACCAUGCACCGAAGCUGCGGCAGCGACACUAUGUGUUGUUGGGUAGGGGAGCGUUCUGUAAGCCUGCGAAGGUGUGCUGUGAGGGUUGCUGGAGGUAUCAGAAGUGCGAAUGCUGACAUAAGUAACGAUAAAGCGGGUGAAAAGCCCGCUCGCCGGAAGACCAAGGGUUCCUGUCCAACGUUAAUCGGGGCAGGGUGAGUCGACCCCUAAGGCGAGGCCGAAAGGCGUAGUCGAUGGGAAACAGGUUAAUAUUCCUGUACUUGGUGUUACUGCGAAGGGGGGACGGAGAAGGCUAUGUUAGCCGGGCGACGGUUGUCCCGGUUUAAGCAUGUAGGCUGAUUGUCCAGGCAAAUCCGGAUAAUCAAGGCUGAGGUGUGAUGACGAGGCACUACGGUGCUGAAGUAACAAAUGCCCUGCUUCCAGGAAAAGCCUCUAAGCAUCAGGUAACAUCAAAUCGUACCCCAAACCGACACAGGUGGUCAGGUAGAGAAUACCAAGGCGCUUGAGAGAACUCGGGUGAAGGAACUAGGCAAAAUGGUGCCGUAACUUCGGGAGAAGGCACGCUGGUGUGUAGGUGAAGCCCCUGCGGGUGGAGCUGAGACCAGUCGAAGAUACCAGCUGGCUGCAACUGUUUAUUAAAAACACAGCACUGUGCAAACACGAAAGUGGACGUAUACGGUGUGACGCCUGCCCGGUGCCGGAAGGUUAAUUGAUGGGGUUAUCCGUAAGGAGAAGCUCUUGAUCGAAGCCCCGGUAAACGGCGGCCGUAACUAUAACGGUCCUAAGGUAGCGAAAUUCCUUGUCGGGUAAGUUCCGACCUGCACGAAUGGCGUAAUGAUGGCCAGGCUGUCUCCACCCGAGACUCAGUGAAAUUGAACUCGCUGUGAAGAUGCAGUGUACCCGCGGCAAGACGGAAAGACCCCGUGAACCUUUACUAUAGCUUGACACUGAACAUUGAGCCUUGAUGUGUAGGAUAGGUGGGAGGCUUUGAAGCGUGGACGCCAGUCUGCGUGGAGCCAACCUUGAAAUACCACCCUUUAAUGUUUGAUGUUCUAACGUUGGCCCCUUACCGGGGUUGCGGACAGUGUCUGGUGGGUAGUUUGACUGGGGCGGUCUCCUCCCAAAGCGUAACGGAGGAGCACGAAGGUUAGCUAAUCCUGGUCGGACAUCAGGAGGUUAGUGCAAUGGCAUAAGCUAGCUUGACUGCGAGCGUGACGGCGCGAGCAGGUGCGAAAGCAGGUCAUAGUGAUCCGGUGGUUCUGAAUGGAAGGGCCAUCGCUCAACGGAUAAAAGGUACUCCGGGGAUAACAGGCUGAUACCGCCCAAGAGUUCAUAUCGACGGCGGUGUUUGGCACCUCGAUGUCGGCUCAUCACAUCCUGGGGCUGAAGUAGGUCCCAAGGGUAUGGCUGUUCGCCAUUUAAAGUGGUACGCGAGCUGGGUUUAGAACGUCGUGAGACAGUUCGGUCCCUAUCUGCCGUGGGCGCUGGAGAAUUGAGGGGGGCUGCUCCUAGUACGAGAGGACCGGAGUGGACGCAUCACUGGUGUUCGGGUUGUCAUGCCAAUGGCACUGCCCGGUAGCUAAAUGCGGAAGAGAUAAGUGCUGAAAGCAUCUAAGCACGAAACUUGCCCCGAGAUGAGUUCUCCCUGAGACUUUAAGUCUCCUGAAGGAACGUUGAAGACGACGACGUUGAUAGGCCGGGUGUGUAAGCGCAGCGAUGCGUUGAGCUAACCGGUACUAAUGAACCGUGAGGCUUAACCUU
rnacentral:rRNA from 1 species